rnacentral:rRNA from 1 species
GUACACUCCUGCGGGAGGCAGCAGUGAGGAAUAUUGGACAAUGGGUGGAAGCCUGAUCCAGCCAUCCCGCGUGCAGGAAGACGGCCCUAUGGGUUGUAAACUGCUUUUAUCUGGGGAUAAACCUACUUACGUGUAAGUAGCUGAAGGUACCAGAAGAAUAAGCACCGGCUAACUCCGUGCCAGCAGCCGCGGUAAUACGGAGGGUGCAAGCGUUAUCCGGAUUUAUUGGGUUUAAAGGGUCCGUAGGCGGACUGAUAAGUCAGUGGUGAAAUCCGACAGCUUAACUGUCGAACUGCCAUUGAUACUGUUAGUCUUGAGUAAGGUUGAAGUGGCUGGAAUAAGUAGUGUAGCGGUGAAAUGCAUAGAUAUUACUUAGAACACCAAUUGCGAAGGCAGGUCACUAAGUCUUAACUGACGCUGAUGGACGAAAGCGUGGGGAGCGAACAGGAGUAGAAACCCUAGUAGUCCCAUGA